rnacentral:rRNA from 1 species
AGAAUCAACGCUGGCGGCGUGCCUAACACAUGCAAGUCGAACGCGAAGGAAGACUUCGGUUUUCUGGAGAGUGGCGCACGGGUGAGUAACACGUGGGUAAUCUGCCUUUGGGUGGGGAAUAACGAUCCGAAAGGGUCGCUAAUACCGCAUAACGCAGCGGCACCGCAUGGUGACAGUUGUUAAAGGGGGGGAUCGAAAGACCUCUCGCCUAAAGAGGAGCCCGCGCCCGAUUAGCUAGUUGGUGAGGUAACGGCUCACCAAGGCUUCGAUCGGUA